ensembl:lncRNA
UCUCUCCCUCCGUCCCUCCCUCUCUCUCUCUCUCUCUCUCUCUCUCUCUCUCUCUCUCUCUCGUUCUGUUUGGUCUCUUGGUCCUGCCUGUCUCCAUUCUCUCCUCAGCACUCUCUGGACUAGCAGUAAGACAGGUUAGCUACUUUAACACACUUAAACCCUCUUCUACAGUCUCGUGUGUGUGUGCGUAUCUGUGUGUUUGAUAGUGAAAGAAGUAGCGAGAGAGAGGAAACGUGUGUGUGUGUGUGUGUGUGUGUGUGUGUGUGUGUGUGUGUGUGUUUAAUCAUAUCCGGGUGCUGGUGGGUUCAGAGCCUCUGCUGUCCUGACACAGACCACAGUCAGGAGCGAGAGG